UACGUAGGGGGCAAGCGUUGUCCGGAUUUAUUGGGCGUAAAGAGCGUGUAGGCGGCUUCACAGGUCCGCUGUGAAAACUCGAGGCUCAACCUCGAGCUGUCGGUGGAAACCGUGUGGCUAGAGUCCGGAAGAGGAGAGUGGAAUUCCCCGGUGUAGCGGUGAAAUGCGCAGAUAUCGGGAAGAACACCCGUGGCGAAGGCGGCUCUCUGGGACGGUACUGACGCUGAGACGCGAAAGCGUGGGGAGCGAACAGG
rnacentral:rRNA from 1 species